GAUGAACGCUGGCGGCGUGCCUAAUACAUGCAAGUCGAGCGAACGGACGAGAAGCUUGCUUCUCUGAUGUUAGCGGCGGACGGGUGAGUAACACGUGGAUAACCUACCUAUAAGACUGGGAUAACUUCGGGAAACCGGAGCUAAUACCGGAUAAUAUUUUGAACCGCAUGGUUCAAAGGUGAAAGACGGUCUUGCUGUCACUUAUAGAUGGAUCCGCGCUGCAUUAGCUAGUUGGUAAGGUAACGGCUUACCAAGGCAACGAUGCAUAGCCGACCUGAGAGGGUGAUCGGCCACAUGGGAACUGAGACACGGUCCAGACUCCUACGGGAGGCAGCAGUAGGGAAUCUUCCGCAACGGGCGAAAGCCUGACGGAGCAACGCCGCGUGAGUGAUGAAGGUCUUCGGAGCGUAAAACUCUGUUAUUAGGGAAGAACAGAUGUGUAAGUAACUGUGCAGAUCUUGACGGUACCUGAUAAGAAAGCAACGGCUAACUACGUG
rnacentral:rRNA from 1 species